rnacentral:tRNA from 1 species
GGGGUUGUGGCUCAGUGGUAGAGCGCUUUCCUCGAAGGUUCGAGACCCUGGGUUUGAACCUCAGCACCACA